CCUACGGGAGGCAGCAGUAAGGAAUAUUGGUCAAUGGGCGCAAGCCUGAACCAGCCAUGCCGCGUGCAGGAAGACGGCCCUAUGGGUUGUAAACUGCUUUUGAACAAGAGAAAACCUCGGUACGUGUACCGAGCUGAUAGUAUUGUUAGAAUAAGCAUCGGCUAACUUCGUGCCAGCAGCCGCGGUAAGACGAAGGAUGCAAGCGUUAUCCGGAUUCAUUGGGUUUAAAGGGUGCGUAGGCGGCCUGAUAAGUCAGUGGUGAAAUCUCUCAGCUUAACUGAGAAACUGCCAUUGAUACUGUCGGGCUUGAGUACAGAUGAUGUGGGCGGAAUAUGACAUGUAGUGGUGAAAUACUUAGAUAUGUCAUAGAACACCGAUUGCGAAGGCAGCUCACAAAACUGUAACUGACGCUGAGGCACGAAAGUGCGGGGAUCAAACAGGAUUAGAUACCCUGGUAGUCCGCACCGUAAACGAUGAUUACUCGUUGUUGGCAAUAUGACCGUCAGCGACCAAGCGAAAGCGAUAAGUAAUCCACCUGGGGAGUACGCCGGCAACGUGAAACUUAAAUGAAUUGACGGCUUGGAGACGNGCGAGGACGACACGAGGGAGGAG
rnacentral:rRNA from 1 species